rnacentral:rRNA from 1 species
UACGGAGGAUCCGAGCGUUAUCCGGAUUUAUUGGGUUUAAAGGGUGCGUAGGUGGGCAGGUAAGUCAGUGGUGAAAUCUCCGGGCUUAACCCGGAAACUGCCGUUGAUACUAUUUGUCUUGAAUAUUGUGGAGGUAAGCGGAAUAUGUCAUGUAGCGGUGAAAUGCUUAGAUAUGACAUAGAACACCAAUUGCGAAGGCAGCUUACUACACAACGAUUGACGCUGAGGCACGAAAGCGUGGGGAUCAAACAGG